AAUAUUACUUGCAGUGCUAAAAUUCACAGACCGAGGUAAAGGGACUGAAUAUGCUGCAGGUGGAACCCUUUCUGGAUGAUUUAGCAACUCAGCUUCUGCAGUUAGUCCAUUUCCCAUCAAGUUAAGGCCCCCCACGAAUCCAUUCAUAACAGCAUCUUGCUCUACAGACCACAUGGAAGCGCUUGUUUGGAUUGGCUGCACAUAUUGGGUAUUGGUAUGAGCAAUGCUUGUUGGUUGCCUUACAUUUGUACUCCAAGCAUUUUGCAAGCUCAAUCCAUCAAGUGCAGAUGAAAAUGGCCCCAUCCCACUACAGAUAUUAACAGAAGCCAUGCUAACACCAGAAGGAACACUGGCAGCGCUAAUAACAGACACAGGAACUGCUAAGGUCAUUGUAUUUGAAGAGAUGCCAUUCACUUUUUCCAUCACUGACGGCUUAAAAACGAUAACUUCGUCUUCCUCCUCACAUUCCACAUACAAUUGCUGCUUUGGCUGCAGAUCUCCAACAUUCAUCAGUCCAGCAUCUGGAUUUUCCAGUUCAAUACCACUUAAUUUAGCAACUUCCCUGGAGCCAUUAAGUUGAUAAUCAUCAGAAGCUUGGGCUCCUCACAUUCCACAUACAAAUGCUGUUUUGGCUGCAGAUCUCCGACAUUCAAUAGUCCAGCAUCUGGACUUUCCAGUUCAAUACAACUUAAUUUAGUAACUUCCCUGGAGCCAUUAAGUUGAUAAUCAUCAGAAGCUUGGGG
rnacentral:lncRNA from 1 species